AGAGUUUGAGUCCUGGCUCAGGAUGAACGCUGGCGGCGUGCUUAACACAUGCAAGUCGAACGAGCGAGUUCCCUCGGGGAAUGAGCGAGUGGCGGACGGGUGAGUAACGCGUGGGUAACCUGCCUCAUACAGGGGGAUAACAGUCAGAAAUGACUGCUAAUACCGCAUAAGCGCACAGUACUGCAUGGUACAGUGUGAAAAGCUCCGGCGGUAUGAGAUGGACCCGCGUUAGAUUAGCCAGUUGCGGGGUAACGGCCCACCAAAGCGACGAUCUAUAGCCGGCCUGAGAGGGCGACCGGCCACAUUGGGACUGAGACACGGCCCAGACUCCUACGGGAGGCAGCAGUGGGGAAUAUUGCACAAUGGGGAAACCCUGAUGCAGCGACGCCGCGUGAGUGAUGAAGUAUUUCGGUAUGUAAAGCUCUAUCAGCAGGGAAGAAAAUGACGGUACCUGACUAAGAAGCCCGGCUAACUACGUGCC
rnacentral:rRNA from 1 species